AAGAAAAAAUAUUCUUUGAGAUACCUGGAUUCCCAGUGCAAGGAAAUGUUUGAGGAAUCCUGUUAUUUAGCAAGAAGAAAAACUUGCAGUUACCACGUCAUAACAUAUGAUGAAGACCCAUAGGCAGGAGAAAGUAAUCAUCUUCAAUACUUCUGCCCUGAUGUAGAAGCCACUGGAGUCACAAGGAGCUUCUCACUGGUUUUGUUUAUGGAAGGGGACUGAGAGAAAAUCUGGAGCCGAAGCCACGAGAGAACAGGUGACAGAAGCUCUGCAAGACCUUCCUUACACACAUGGAACAAGGGUGGCUGUGUAGAUCACAUGGCAAAACAACACCAUCAGCCUGCACCCCACCCUGUGGGAGUCAGGAAUUUGGUACAGGCACCCUGCCCUCAUUCUAUGCUUGGACUGAUA